GUCUUAGCUUGCUAAGACUGAUGGCGACCGGCGCACGGGUGAGUAACACGUAUCCAACCUGCCGUCUACUCUUGGACAGCCUUCUGAAGGGAAGAUUAAUACAAGAUGGCAUCAUGAGUCCACAUGUUCACAUGAUUAAAGGUAUUCCGGUAGACGAUGGGGAUGCGUUCCAUUAGAUAGUAGGCGGGGUAACGGCCCACCUAGUCUUCGAUGGAUAGGGGUUCUGAGAGGAAGGUCCCCCACAUUGGAACUGAGACACGGUCCAAACUCCUACGGGAGGCAGCAGUGAGGAAUAUUGGUCAAUGGGCGAGAGCCUGAACCAGCCAAGUAGCGUGAAGGAUGACUGCCCUAUGGGUUGUAAACUUCUUUUAUAAAGGAAUAAAGUCGGGUAUGCAUACCCGUUUGCAUGUACUUUAUGAAUAAGGAUCGGCUAACCCCGUGCCAGCAGCCGCGGUAAUACGGAGGAUCCGAGCGUUAUCCGGAUUUAUUGGGUUUAAAGGGAGCGUAGAUGGAUGUUUAAGUCAGUUGUGAAAGUUUGCGGCUCAACCGUAAAAUUGCAGUUGAUACUGGAUAUCUUGAGUGCAGUUGAGGCAGGCGGAAUUCGUGGUGUAGCGGUGAAAUGCUUAGAUAUCACGAAGAACUCCGAUUGCGAAGGCAGCCUGCUAAGCUGCAACUGACAUUGAGGCUCGA
rnacentral:rRNA from 1 species